UCUAGUUGAUUGUCUUAAUAGAAAUAAUAUUUGUUGUAUCCUUACUUUGAUAAUUGUUGCUCUAUGUUUGAAUUCAUCUUCUCUUUCUCAAAGCAUAACUGACUACCAGCUUUUAAUAAGCUCACUCGUCAUUGCAGGGAAAAGCUUAACUCCAUGAAUUUGAUGCUUUAUAUGGCACCGAUUGCUGUUGUAGUUUGGCUGUGUUUGUAAUGGAACCUGAUAUAUUUAACUUAGUUGUCGCACUUGGAAAGGAACAUAAAUUCAUGUGGAUUCUUCUUUUCGUUAAUUCAACAGUGGAUUAUGAAGCGAACUUGUGCAAUUUCCUGGUGACUAAGCAUACAAGUGCUCUAACACUCCAGGUUUGUGGUGGAUUAAAUGAGUCGUACGUUGAGCUGAAGAGACUUGUGAAUUCACAAGAAAAGUUGUACCAUAUGGCUAGCUAGUUGCAUAUUUAAUAUGUUUAGUAUUUUUGUAAGGCAUAAUAGUAUAGAUAGAACAGUUGUUGAAUUUUGACUAUAUUCAAAUCUUGUAUGAAUUCUUUUUUAUGAUAAUAAUAUAAAAUUAAAUAUUUUGGAUGA